AUUCAGGUAUAAAAAGCAAGUGCUUUUUCAAAUACGUAAAAUCUAAAAAGUGUAAUACCCAAAGUAUUAGUCCAUUCUCACACUGCUAUGAAGAUAUACCUGAGACUGAGUAAUUUAUAGAGGAAAGAGAUUUAAUUGACUCACAGUUUAGCAUGGCUGGCGAGGCCUCAGGAAACUUACAGUCGUGGUGGAAGGGGAAGCAAACACAUCCUUCUUCAUAUGGCAGCAGGAAGGAGAAAAAUGAGAGCCAAGUGAAGGGGGACACCUCUUAUAAAACCAUCAGAUCUCAUGAGAACUUACUCAGUAUCAUGAGAAUAGCAUGGAGGAAACCAACCCCAUGAUUCAAUUACCUCUCACCAGGUCCCUCCCACAACACGUGGGGAUUAUGGGAACUACAAUUCAAGAUGAGAUUUGGUUGGGGACGUAGCCAAACCAUAUUACUCAUGGACUUAUAAUGAAGUAAUCAUUAAAGGCCUUACUUCAGUGAGGAGAGCACAGACCGAAGGAGCCAGAUGGAAACCAGAAUAUAGCACUUUUCAAGGGGGAUAAUUCUACCACAUGGAGGAAAGCUGACAGCAUUCAGACAUAAACUGGAAUAACGAGGCUGGAGGAAAUCAUUGCAAAAGAGCAAAGGCUGUAGCCCCAAGAGGGGACAGCAGAACCUUAAGCAGCCCUUCAGGAAGCUGCUGACUGAAGUCAUGAAUAUCCUGCCCCAUGAAAGUGAAAAUACCUUUGCUUGUUUAGAAAAACAGAUAAACAACAAG
rnacentral:lncRNA from 10 species